rnacentral:rRNA from 1 species
UCCAGACUCCUACGGGAGGCAGCAGUGAGGAAUAUUGGUCAAUGGGCGGGAGCCUGAACCAGCCAAGUCGCGUGAGGGAUGACGGCCCCACGGGUUGUAAACUUCUUUUGUCAGGGAGCAAUUGGGUCCACGCGUGGGCUUAGCGAGAGUACCUGAAGAAAAAGCAUCGGCUAACUCCGUGCCAGCAGCCGCGGUAAUACGGAGGAUGCGAGCGUUAUCCGGAUUUAUUGGGUUUAAAGGGUGCGUAGGCGGAAUAUCAAGUCAGCGGUAAAAUUUCGGGGCUCAACCCCGUCGUGCCGUUGAAACUGGCGUUCUUGAGUGAGCGAGAAGUAUGCGGAAUGCGUGGUGUAGCGGUGAAAUGCAUAGAUAUCACGCAGAACUCCGAUUGCGAAGGCAGCAUACCGGCGCUCAACUGACGCUCAUGCACGAAAGCGUGGGUAUCGAACAGGAUUAGAUACCCCAGUAGA